rnacentral:rRNA from 1 species
AUUGAACGCUGGCGGCAUGCUUUACACAUGCAAGUCGAACGGUAACAGGCCUUCGGGCGCUGACGAGUGGCGAACGGGUGAGUAAUGCAUCGGAACGUGCCCAGUCGUGGGGGAUAACUAUCCGAAAGGAUAGCUAAUACCGCAUACGAUCUGCGGAUGAAAGCGGGGGACCUUCGGGCCUCGCGCGAUUGGAGCGGCCGAUGUCAGAUUAGGUAGUUGGUGUGGUAAAGGCUCACCAAGCCAACGAUCUGUAGCUGGUGUGAGAGGACGACCAGCCACACUGGGACUGAGACACGGCCCAGACUCCUACGGGAGGCAGCAGUGGGGAAUUUUGGACAAUGGGCGCAAGCCUGAUCCAGCAAUGCCGCGUGCAGGAAGUAGGCCUUCGGGUUGUAAACUGCUUUUGUACGGAACGAAACGGCUCUGGUUAAUACCCGGGGCUAAUGACGGUACCGUAAGAAUAAGCACCGGCUAACUACGUGCCAGCCGCCGCAGUAAAAC